rnacentral:rRNA from 1 species
UUCGGGGUGNCAGGCGAUACGGGCAUAACUAGAGUGCUGUAGGGGAGACUGGAAUUCCUGGUGUAGCGGUGGAAUGCGCAGAUAUCAGGAGGAACACCGAUGGCGAAGGCAGGUCUCUGGGCAGUAACUGACGCUGAGGAGCGAAAGCAUGGGGAGCGAACAGGAUUAGAUACCCUGGUAGUCCAUGCUGUAAACGGUGGGCGUUAGGUGUGGGGACCGGUUUGGUUUCUGUGCCGUAGCUAACGCAUUAAGCGCCCCGCCUGGGGAGUACGGCCGCAAGGCUAAAACUCAAAGGAAUUGACGGGGGCCCGCACAAGCGGCGGAGCAUGUGGAUUAAUUCGAUGCAACGCGAAGAACCUUACCUGGGUUUGACAUGCACCAGACGGUUGUAGAGAUACGUACCUCCCUUUGUGGUUGGUGUGCAGGUGGUGCAUGGUUGUCGUCAGCUCGUGUCGUGAGAUGUUGGGUUAAGUCCCGCAACGAGCGCAACCCUUGUCUUAUGUUGCCAGCACUUUGGGUGGGGACUCAUGAGAGACUGCCGGGGUUAACUCGGAGGAAGGUGGGGAUGACGUCAAAUCAUCAUACCCUUUAUGCCCAGGGCUUCACACAUGCUACAAUGGUUAGUACAACGCGCUGCGAGCCUGUGAGGGUGAGCGAAUCGCUGAAAGCUAAUCUCAGUUCGGAUUGGGGUCUGCAACUCGACCCCAUGAAGUCGGAGUCGCUAGUAAUCGCAGAUCAGCAAUGCUGCGGUGAAUACGUUCCCGGGCCUUGUACACACCGCCCGUCACGUCAUGAAAGUUGGUAACACCCGAAGCCCAUGGCCUAANCACCGUUUGGUGGGGGGAGUGGUCG